UCCUGAAAAAGCUAACGCGAAAAGUGCGUAGAGGACCACGCCAGGCAGCGACAGCUCACUCACACACAGCGGGAUAUCGGGUAAGAGAGAUCUGACCUGCUCGGUACACAUAUGAUCUGCACCUUUCUGAUGCAUAUAUGUGUAUACUUGUACUGAGCCGGCUAUAUUCCACAUGUAUCAUCUGUACCCGCUAGACUCGCAUCGCAUAUUGAGGCUAGCUAUUAUGGUGAUAUG